rnacentral:rRNA from 1 species
UACGUAGGCAGCAAGCGUUGCUCGGAAUCACUGGGCGUAAAGCGCACGUAGGCGGAUUGCUAAGUCAGGGGUGAAAUCCUGGAGCUCAACUCCAGAACUGCCUUUGAUACUGGCGACCUUGAGUCCGGGAGAGGUGAGUGGAACUGCGAGUGUAGAGGUGAAAUUCGUAGAUAUCGUAAGGAAGACCAGUGGCGAAGGCGGGUCUCUGGACAGUUCCUGACGCUGAGGCACGAAGGUCAGGGGAGCAAACAGG